rnacentral:rRNA from 1 species
ACACAUGCAAGUCGAACGAUGAACCCGCUUCGGCGGGGGAUUAGUGGCGAACGGGUGAGUAACACGUGGGCAAUCUGCCCUUCACUCUGGGACAAGCCCUGGAAACGGGGUCUAAUACCGGAUACGACCACUUCGGGCAUCCGAUGGUGGUGGAAAGCUCCGGCGGUGAAGGAUGAGCCCGCGGCCUAUCAGCUUGUUGGUGGGGUAAUGGCCCACCAAGGCGACGACGGGUAGCCGGCCUGAGAGGGCGACCGGCCACACUGGGACUGAGACACGGCCCAGACUCCUACGGGAGGCAGCAGUGGGGAAUAUUGCACAAUGGGCGAAAGCCUGAUGCAGCGACGCCGCGUGAGGGAUGACGGCCUUCGGGUUGUAAACCUCUUUCAGCAGGGAAGAAGCGCAAGUGACGGUACCUGCAGAAGAAGCGCCGGCUAACUACGUGCCAGCAGCCGCGGUAAUACGUAGGGCGCAAGCGUUGUCCGGAAUUAUUGGGCGUAAAGAGCUCGUAGGCGGCUUGUCGCGUCGGAUGUGAAAGCCCGGGGCUUAACCCCGGGUCUGCAUUCGAUACGGGCAGGCUAGAGUGUGGUAGGGGAGAUCGGAAUUCCUGGUGUAGCGGUGAAAUGCGCAGAUAUCAGGAGGAACACCGGUGGCGAAGGCGGAUCUCUGGGCCAUUACUGACGCUGAGGAGCGAAAGCGUGGGGAGCGAACAGGAUUAGAUACCCUGGUAGUCCACGCCGUAAACGUUGGGAACUAGGUGUUGGCGACAUUCCACGUCGUCGGUGCCGCAGCUAACGCAUUAAGUUCCCCGCCUGG